AUCCAGUUGACGAGUCCCAAUAUAGGUCGAAAUGCGCAUCGUGGAU
rfam:Trichobilharzia regenti genome assembly, scaffold: TRE_contig0026393